CACGUAGGCACCAAGCGUUGUCCGGAUUUAUUGGGCGUAAAGAGCUCGUAGGCGGUUCGGUAAGUCGGGUGUGAAAACUCUGGGCUCAACCCAGAGCCGCCACCCGAUACUGCUGUGACUUGAGUGCGGUAGAGGAUCGCGGAAUUCCCGGUGUAGAGGUGAAAUUCGUAGAUAUCGGGAGGAACACCAGUGGCGAAGGCGGCGAUCUGGGAAGAUACUGACGCUGAGGUGCGAAAGCGUGGGGAGCAAACAGG
rnacentral:rRNA from 1 species